rnacentral:rRNA from 1 species
UAGGGAAUCUUCCACAAUGGACGCAAGUCUGAUGGAGCAACGCCGCGUGAGUGAAGAAGGCUUUCGGGUCGUAAAACUCUGUUAUUGAAGAAGAACGUGUGUGACAGUAACUGGUCAUGCAGUGACGGUAUUCAAUCAGAAAGUCACGGCUAACUACGUGCCAGCAGCCGCGGUAAUACGUAGGUGGCAAGCGUUGUCCGGAUUUAUUGGGCGUAAAGCGAGUGCAGGCGGUCUUUUAAGUCUGAUGUGAAAGCCUUCGGCUUAACCGAAGAAGGGCAUCGGAAACUGGGAGACUUGAGUGCAGAAGAGGAGAGUGGAACUCCAUGUGUAGCGGUGAAAUGCGUAGAU